CAGAGUGGUUUUUGUUUAUGUGUUUGUUAAUAAUUUCUAUUUAAAAGUAUUGUGCUGUGAAUUGUAUCGAAAAUCAUAAAAUCGUAACGAUUAUUAAUAAAUAGUAAUAAAAAUGAUGUGAUUCUCAGUUAGAAAAAAAGCAAAAAAGUCAAGUUAGAAAAAAAGAAUUAGUGUCCUGACAUAAUAUUUGGAUUUGUAAUAAAAGUAUUAGAUAUUAAACAGUUUCACUAUAGUAUUUAAAAGUACCUUUAAUUAUGCCCAGAAAGCCGUGCUACUGGACACGCAGACUUGAAUUACAGUUAGUUGAAUUCGUCCGCCAAAAAGAAUUUAUUUGGAAGCCUAUUGGUAACACAAAUCAUCAUAUUCAGCAAAAAUAUAAAGCCUAUGCUGAGUUCGCAUCAAUACUAGGGCCUGGUUUUACAGCUAGAUCUGUAAGGGAUCGUUGGGUGAACAUUAGAAGCACCUUUAAUCACAAUCUACGAAAAGUUUUAAAGUCACAGGAAAUAGCAAAAUGUCCUGAAGAAGUUUAUACCCCUUGCUGGCCACUAUGGAAGCCCCUUCAAUUUCUUAAAGACCCUUCUAAAAGUGAAGACAGCUUUUAUGAGGAAUAUUCAGCCAUUGAAAGCAGCUUAAAACCAGAACCAGAUUUGAGUGAAACAUUUAUUAGUAUACGCCAAAGAGGACAGCAUAUUGAUAGACCCAAAAAAAAAUCUAAAAAGAAAUUUAAACAAUGUAAAGACAUACUGGACAACUUAUUAAUAGCAAUGGCUCCAUUAAACACGUCAUCGGAGGGCUCAAAUUAUUGGUAUUUUGGGCGUCAUGUCACAGAACGUUUGAAUGCUAUGAGAUCAAUUGACGCUACAUGUGCAGGUCAAGAGAUUUUAAAACUAUUGGAAGCAAAUGGAAACAGCCAAAUCAAUUCAUUAGGAAGCUGAAUACAGUAAUUCCAAUUAAUGUUGGAAAUAUCUUGGUAUAAAUUUAAAAACUUAAAAGCUGACAUCUAGAUGUUUUCACUACUGGCACAGAACAGAGGGAGAUGAAAAAACACAUUCAAAGAUGAUUAUAAAGAAAUAUUGUUUUUUUUAAUUUUACAUUAUACAUUUUUAUUAAAUAGAUAUCAUAUGUUUAUUGUUUGCCAUUAUGUCAUUGGUACAUUGAUUCAGAUUGGAUGCAAGCAAACAUUCAUCUUUACUUUUGAUACUUGUAUUUAUGCAUCUGUCGAUAUUCCUCUCCAACUUUUUUAUCAAUUUAUCCUCCUUUGCAUAAAACUUGGUGAUUAAGCCAAUAAGGUUUUCUGUUAAAAAUGUUAAUAGGAGACACAA